UACGGAGGGGGCUAGCGUUGUUCGGAAUUACUGGGCGUAAAGGGCGCGUAGGCGGCCUCUUAAGUCGGACGUGAAAUCCCCGGGCUCAACCCGGGAACUGCGUCCGAUACUGGGAGGCUUGAAUCCGGGAGAGGGAUGUGGAAUUCCAGGUGUAGCGGUGAAAUGCGUAGAUAUCUGGAGGAACACCGGUGGCGAAGGCGGCAUCCUGGACCGGUAUUGACGCUGAGGCGCGAAAGCUAGGGGAGCAAACGGG
rnacentral:rRNA from 1 species